CCUACGGGGGACAGCAGUGAGGAAUAUUGGUCAAUGGGCGCGAGCCUGAACCAGCCAAGUAGCGUGAAGGAUGACUGCCCUACGGGUUGUAAACUUCUUUUAUCAAGGAAUAAAGUGAGGCCCGUGUGCCUUUUUGUAUGUACUUUAUGAAUAAGAAUCGGCUAACUCCGUGCCAGCAGCCGCGGUAAUACGGAGGAUCCGAGCUUUUUCCGGAUUUAUUGGGUUUAAAGGGAGCGUAGAUGGGUUGUUAAGUCAGUUGUGAAUGUUUGCGGCUCAACCGUAAAAUUGCAAUUGAUACUGGCAGGCUUGAGUGCAGAUGAGGUAGGCGGAAUGCGUGGUGUAGCGGUGAAAUGCUUAGAUAUCACGAAGAACUCCGAUUGCGAAGGCAGCUUACGAAACUGCCACUGACAUUGAUGCUCGAAAGUGUGGGUAUCAAACAGGAUUAGAUACCCGGGUAGUC
rnacentral:rRNA from 1 species